GUGGGGAAUAUUGGACAAUGGGCGAAAGCCUGAUCCAGCCAUGCCGCGUGUGUGAAGAAGGUCUUCGGAUUGUAAAGCACUUUAAGUUGGGAGGAAGGGCAGUAAGUUAAUACCUUGCUGUUUUGACGUUACCGACAGAAUAAGCACCGGCUAACUUCGUGCCAGCAGCCGCGGUAAUACGAAGGGUGCAAGCGUUAAUCGGAAUUACUGGGCGUAAAGCGCGCGUAGGUGGUUUUGUAAGUUGGAGGUGAAAUCCCCGGGCUCAACCUGGGAACUGGCUCCAAAACUGCAUGACUAGAGUACGGUAGAGGGUAGUGGAAUUUCCUGUGUAGCGGUGAAAUGCGUAGAUAUAGGAAGGAACACCAGUGGCGAAGGCGACUACCUGGACUGAUACUGACACUGAGGUGCGAAAGCGUGGGGAGCAAACAGGAUUAGAAACCCGUGUAGUCC
rnacentral:rRNA from 1 species